AUGGGUUACCGGGCUUCGGUCCGACCUCCAACCCUGUGUUAAACUACCAUGUUGCUUUGGCGAGCCCGCCUCUCGGGGCCGCCGGGGGCCUUUGGGCCUCUGGUCCGUGUUCGCCAGUAGCCAACCUCAAAUUCUUUUAAUUAUGUCGUCUGAGUUACAAAUUAAAUUAUUUA
rnacentral:misc_RNA from 1 species